GGCCGCGAUUAGCAUAAUAGUAUAGAAACAAGGAAACUUUUCCGAGCUGUCAAUCAGGGCCCAAUCAGCUGACUGUCAGCUGGGACGGGCUGGGUUAACCCUUGCCGCGCCGCAGCUCGGAAGAGGGAGGAGGGAGUGGGCCCGGGUGCAAAGUUUAGUGCAAGAGCGAGAGUUUUCCCGAGGGGCAGCUGGAAGCCGCAGCACCCAGCAGGACUGUGUGCGUCCUCCGGAGCGCGACGGAGGCCUCUGGCUCAUUGAUCCCGCGCUCGUCCGCAACCCGCGCCCCUCACCGCCUGCGCCCCGGCCCCGGGGUAGUGAAUCGGCCUGCCGCUUGCUUUCUUUUCCUGCACUCUGCAACUCUGGCACCCCAGGUGUCUGCCCGGGGACCUCCCUUCCCCGCGCCUGGCUGCGCCCUGAAGCUCAAACUUGGCCCAACUCUUUGUCCCUCUGCCCGUGCGGGUGCAGUGGGCUGGCUGGAGGCGCGGGGUGGGGACUGCGCGCGGGACGCCUCUGGCAGUUCGCCCGCCUCGCGGCGUGGGGUCCCCUGAGGGAGAAAGCUCCUUCGACCACCCUCUUGGGAAGGAAGGAAAAUAAGUUGUUCCGGACCUAUCCCAGCGGGGACUUAGUGGGCCGCUGGCGUAGCGCGCCCUUGGGGAGCAAACAUCUACUAGAGAGAGUUAACUCCGGUCCCCGGCUCGGCCUUGGCUGGAGUUUGGCCUCUGAGAUUUCUCUCUCUCUUGCUCUCUCCAUCCUCAUCUGAAAAAUCUGAUAUCUUCCCUCUGUUAAAAAAAAAAAAAUACCGAGCUGCGUUUCCUUCCUUUACAUUUUUACAUUUGACUUAAUUAUUUCGGACUUGAUUAUGAUCCGAAACUGUGCGGGGGGGGCAAUACCCCACUCCUCCCUAGCUUCCCUGCAAGGGUUAAAUUUUAAACAGCUGUUUUUCUGGAGGAGUCCGGAAACCCAGAAUUUGGAAGAGAUGGGGGAGCGCCCCCUCCCCGCCUUGCAGAUAGGUAAUAACUAGUUCACAUUUCUAGAUCGAUUCUUUUAAAGCGGCGGAAAAUAAAAAAAAGGAGAGAGAGAGAGAGCGAGGAAGAAAAAGAAAACAGAAAGGGACUAGCAACUCUUUUCUAAGAUUUUAAAGCGAUAGGCCAGCCAGAGGAGCUGAGAUUUAAUUGGGAGAAAGCAAGAUUGCAUUGAAACCGACUCAUUUUUUAUUUUUUAUUUUUGGAAGACCAGCCCACCUGCUUGGAAAUUGGAACUCUUGAUUCCUCCAGUUAACGUAAUGCGUUUGGUGUUAAUCAUAUUUAUUUUAUUUUAUGGAAGGGGGAGGGCUCUAGGAGCACUUAAAAAAAAAUCUGAGAAGCCUGCAAAAGGAUCGAAGACUGGGAACUAUUGUUGGACCCAGUUGGUUUUUACCUCAACAGCGCCACCUUUCGGCAAAGGUCAGUUGAAAUUGAUCCGCGUCCAGUUUUGUUUAAGUGGAAAGAAGCUGGUUUCCCAGCGUGGGAGGAGGAAAGAGGCUCAGAAAAGGCUCUUCCUGAUAUGAAGUAUUGGCUUUUCACAAGAGAUGUGAGAGACCCAAAUGUUUUCUGGGAAGGUGUGCCUGAUUUCACCCAGAUCUGUUCCCUCCCUUUAUCUGAUCAAAUCCCAGCGCAGCCUGGCAGACAAGAGUCACUGAUUUAAUACACAGCUUGGGGGACCCGUGAACACUGGCAUUCAGAGACCUCUGUGGUUUCCAGCAGGAGACAGAGACGUAAGAUGAUGGGUCCUGUUUUCCAAGAUUACCGCCUUUCUCUAUUUCCUCUUUCUCUUUUCAGGGCCUUCUGCUUCUGCUGAGAUUUUUCUUUUCCUUCAAUUAGGGACUGCCUGUGACGUGCUCUUCCAUUCUCAUCGCUUUUGAUCCCAGCUACAGCUUAUGCCAGUGAGGGAGUUUAUCUCCAAAGCGCUCGACCCUUCAAAGAUUUUAUUGUCAUCAACUCAGAGCUGCUCUUAAAAAAAAAAAAAAAAAAAAGCAAAGGAGAUAAAAUAAAUAAAUAAAUACAGGAAGCUGAUAUCAGGGAAUCUUUUUGCAGGCGGUGUCUUUUAUGCCUGAUAACUGGGCGGACAACAGGCUCAGUGGUGAUGCUGGCUCUGAAGUUUUAUCCUCUUCCUGCUCCUGCUGAAGGGGGAUGCUUACUUCUUAUUCCAGACUUGUUCAGCAGCCAUCUGACCUGGGAAAGAAAUGCAGUUCUCCAAAGUACUGAGCAAACUUGAAUUCUUCUGUGGUUAAAAAGAAAGAAUGUUGAAGGAGAUGUUUUCUAGAUUUGCGAGCUUUUGGCUUUCUUUAGUCCAGGCCUGGGGAAAGGGGUCUCUACAGCUCUGUUUCACAUUAUAGUUCUCAUUUACCUCUGAGGUGUGGUUGAGCACUCUUGUGCAUUGUUCUGUGCACUGAAACACCAGAUGUAUCCAUUCAGCAUCCUCUGAUGAAGGUCAGAAAUGGGGCUCACACCUCUACCCAUCCCAAAUAAAAACUGGCAUCAAAUAUAGCCUUGUUGAUAAACUUUUUUUAAUAUUUA